GUAGGUGGCAAGCGUUAUCCGGAAUUACUGGGUGUAAAGGGCGUGUAGGCGGGAGUGUAAGUCAGAUGUGAAAUUCCACUGCUCAACGGUGGCGCUGCAUCUGAAACUAUACUUCUUGAGUACUGGAGAGGAAAGUGGAAUUCCUAGUGUAGCGGUGAAAUGCGUAGAUAUUAGGAGGAACACCAGUGGCGAAGGCGGCUUUCUGGACAGUAACUGACGCUGAGGCGCGAAAGCGUGGGGAGCAAAC
rnacentral:rRNA from 1 species